rfam:Astyanax mexicanus chromosome 17, whole genome shotgun sequence.
ACAUUAUCGGGAGCAGCGUCUUCCAUAAUGU